UUUCUUGUGGUAUUUAACAGUUUAAACUGUUAAACCGAUUAGAAACGCUAUAAUUAGUGGGUUUUCUAUUUCUAGCUCUGUCAGUCUGCUCUACUUUCGUUCUUGAGAAGGUGCCAUUUUUUAAGUGGAUUUCUGAGGAAUGCAAAUCAUAAUACGUAAAUUAAGGAAAUGAUACUCUGCGGCGGACUUGGACAUCAAGCUUUCAUUUUUCUCGUAUGACAGAUCAAGCCUCAAUGAUAAUAAGUAAUCCGAACGUACAUCUAUCAAGUUGAUAGAUAUUAACGUUCUGUUUCGAUUCAGUAUAUCCAAUUUAUAAGGACUUGGAAGAAGAAGCGGCCAUUAUUGAUAUAUGCCUACCCUAACACUAAUGUAUAAUAUAUUUACGAAUAUAUAUCGCUUUUUACAUCGAAUGGAUGACUUGUAAAAUUUCCAGCCUUCUU